rnacentral:rRNA from 1 species
UACAGAGGUCUCAAGCGUUGUUCGGAUUCAUUGGGCGUAAAGGGUGCGUAGGCGGCGCGGUAAGUCGGGUGUGAAAUCUCGGAGCUUAACUCCGAAACUGCAUUCGAUACUGCCGUGCUUGAGGACUGGAGAGGAGACUGGAAUUUACGGUGUAGCAGUGAAAUGCGUAGAUAUCGUAAGGAAGACCAGUGGCGAAGGCGGGUCUCUGGACAGCUUC